GAGUUUAGGAUCCUGUCUUUAGAGUAUUUUGCUGUGUAAUUUCUAAUGUACUGGUCAAGUAGCUCAACUUAUUUUACAGGUAAAAUUUGUUUUCUUCCACAGAGUUGAGUUUGGAUUUAGAUCUACAGCUCCACAUAUUUGUUUCUCCUGAGACCCAUAUAUUUUGGAGUUCUGAUGACAAGGCAGUUUUUCUUUAGUCUAUUGAUUUAGGAACCCUGACCUAGGAGUGCAUAUGCUGUAACUGAAGUAGUCUGGUGCUUUAACAUUUUCAGCUUCAAACAUGUGCUACCUGACUAGAUGGAAUUCCUUGAGAACUGUAUUAACAUGUUUCAAAGAGUUGAAUUAACAGAUGGAGUUUCGCUCUUGUUGCCCAGGCUGGAGUGCAAUGCUGCGAUCUCGACUCACCGUAACCUCCGCUUCUGGGGUUCAAGUGAUUCUCCUGCCUCAGCCUCCCAAGUAGCUAGAAUUACAGGUAUGAGCCACCACACGCCCGGCCAGUAUUGUGAGUUUUAAAGAAUGCAUUUUAAUAUGUUUCACUUUUUAAAGCUCCUAAGUGGUUUUGUUGCUAAUUUUUUUAAAUUUUGUUUUGUGAAGAGAUUGGUAACAUAAAUUGUAAAGCAGAAAUUAAUUCACCUAGCUUUCCUCAUCACAGUUUAAGACGGAUAUUUGUGUUCUGGUUUGCUUAUUUGUUUUUCCGGGUCCACACAUUCACUCAUAUGUGUUUAGAUUUUUCAUGUGGAAGGCAGUGAUAUAAUUUCAGGCCUAUAUGUUUUGACCCUCUGUUCACACAUGGUUGUUAUAUGCCCUGACAUUGUGUUUACUUCACAUUUCCUAUUUUUCCACUGUAUAUCUGAGGAUAUUUCAUGCUAUUUUGUUACCUAAAGAGAGGCUACUGCUACAUGGGGAGACAUAUAUACAUAUAUGUAGGAGUACACCUAUGUGUGCAUGUGUGUGUAUUUAUAAAUCUCUCUCCAUGUAGCAGUACACAUAUAUAUAUGUAUAUAUAAUUUGUUUUUAUGAGAAGGA
rnacentral:lncRNA from 10 species